rnacentral:rRNA from 1 species
GACGAACGCUGGCGGCGUGCUUAACACAUGCAAGUCGAACGGAAAGGCCCUUCGGGGUACUCGAGUGGCGAACGGGUGAGAACACGUGGGUGAUCUGCCCUGCACUUUGGGAUAAGCCUGGGAAACUGGGUCUAAUACCGAAUAGGACCACGCGCUUCAUGGUGUGUGGUGGAAAGCUUUUGCGGUGUGGGAUGGGCCCGCGGCCUAUCAGCUUGUUGGUGGGGUAAUGGCCUACCAAGGCGACGACGGGUAGCCGGCCUGAGAGGGUGACCGGCCACACUGGGACUGAGAUACGGCCCAGACUCCUACGGGAGGCAGCAGUGGGGAAUAUUGCACAAUGGGCGCAAGCCUGAUGCAGCGACGCCGCGUGAGGGAUGACGGCCUUCGGGUUGUAAACCUCUUUCAAUAGGGACGAAGCGCAAGUGACGGUACCUAUAGAAGAAGCACCGGCCAACUACGUG